GACGAACGCUGGCGGCGUGCUUAACACAUGCAAGUCGAGCGGUAAGGCCCUUUCGGGGGUACACGAGCGGCGAACGGGUGAGUAACACGUGGGUGACCUGCCCUCAGCUCUGGGAUAAGCCUGGGAAACUGGGUCUAAUACUGGAUAUGACUCCACGGUGCAUGUCGUGGGGUGGAAAGCCUUGUGCGGCUGAGGAUGGGCCCGCGGCCUAUCAGCUUGUUGGUGGGGUGANGGCCUACCAAGGCGACGACGGGUAGCCGGCCUGAGAGGGCGACCGGCCACACUGGGACUGAGACACGGCCCAGACUCCUACGGGAGGCAGCAGUGGGGAAUCUUGCGCAAUGGGCGAAAGCCUGACGCAGCGACGCCGCGUGAGGGAUGACGGCCUGGUU
rnacentral:rRNA from 1 species